GACGAACGCUGUCGGCGUGCCUAAUACAUGCAAGUAGAACGCUGAAGAGAGGAUCUUGCUCUUCUUGGAUGAGUUGCGAACGGGUGAGUAACGCGUAGGUAACCUGCCUUGUAGCGGGGGAUAACUAUUGGAAACGAUAGCUAAUACCGCAUAACAAUGGAUGACACAUGUCAUUUAUUUGAAAGGGGCAAUUGCUCCACUACAAGAUGGACCUGCGUUGUAUUAGCUAGUGGGUGAGGUAACGGCUCACCUAGGCGACGAUACAUAGCCGACCUGAGAGGGUGAUCGGCCACACUGGGACUGAGACACGGCCCAGACUCCUACGGGAGGCAGCAGUAGGGAAUCUUCGGCAAUGGGGGCAACCCUGACCGAGCAACGCCGCGUGAGUGAAGAAGGUUUUCGGAUCGUAAAGCUCUGUUGUAAGUCAAGAACGAGUGUGAGAGUGGAAAGUUCACACUGUGACGGUAGCUUACCAGAAAGGGACGGCUAACUACGUGCCAGCAGCCGCGGUAAUACGUAGGUCCCGAGCGUUGUCCGGAUUUAUUGGGCGUAAAGCGAGCGCAGGCGGUUUGAUAAGUCUGAAGUUAAAGGCUGUGGCUCAACCAUAGUUCGCUUUGGAAACUGUCAAACUUGAGUGCAGAAGGGGAGAGUGGAAUUCCAUGUGUAGCGGUGAAAUGCGUAGAUAUAUGGAGGAACACCGGUGGCGAAAGCGGCUCUCUGGUCUGUAACUGACGCUGAGGCUCGAAAGCGUGGGGAGCGAACAGGAUUAGAUACCCUGGUAGUCCACGCCGUAAACGAUGAGUGCUAGGUGUUGGAUCCUUUCCGGGAUUCAGUGCCGCAGCUAACGCAUUAAGCACUCCGCCUGGGGAGUACGACCGCAAGGUUGAAACUCAAAGGAAUUGACGGGGGCCCGCACAAGCGGUGGAGCAUGUGGUUUAAUUCGAAGCAACGCGAAGAACCUUACCAGGUCUUGACAUCCCGAUGCUAUUUCUAGAGAUAGAAAGUUACUUCGGUACAUCGGUGACAGGUGGUGCAUGGUUGUCGUCAGCUCGUGUCGUGAGAUGUUGGGUUAAGUCCCGCAACGAGCGCAACCCCUAUUGUUAGUUGCCAUCAUUCAGUUGGGCACUCUAGCGAGACUGCCGGUAAUAAACCGGAGGAAGGUGGGGAUGACGUCAAAUCAUCAUGCCCCUUAUGACCUGGGCUACACACGUGCUACAAUGGUUGGUACAACGAGUUGCGAGUCGGUGACGGCAAGCUAAUCUCUUAAAGCCAAUCUCAGUUCGGAUUGUAGGCUGCAACUCGCCUACAUGAAGUCGGAAUCGCUAGUAAUCGCGGAUCAGCACGCCGCGGUGAAUACGUUCCCGGGCCUUGUACACACCGCCCGUCACACCACGAGAGUUUGUAACACCCGAAGUCGGUGAGGUAACCUUUUGGAGCCAGCCGCCUAAGGUGGGAUAGAUGAUUGGGGUGAAGUCGUA
rnacentral:rRNA from 1 species